GACGAACGCUGGCGGCGUGCUUAACACAUGCAAGUCGAACGGAAAGGCCCCUUUGGGGGUACUCGAGUGGCGAACGGGCGAGUAACACGUGAGUAACCUGCCCUUGACUUCGGGAUAACUUCAGGAAACUGGGGCUAAUACCGGCUAGGAAUCCUUGCUGCAUGGUGGGGGUUGGAAAGCUUCGGCGGGUUUGGAUGGACUCGCGGCUUAUCAGCCUGUUGGUGGGGGAGGUGCUUACCAAGGCUUUGACGGGGAGGCGGCCCGGGGGGGCGGCCGGCCACAAUGGGAAUGGGAUACGGGCCAGGCUCCUACGGGGGGCAGCAGUGGGGGAUAUUGCACAAUGGGCGGGAGCCUGAUGCAGCAACGCCGCGUGCGGGGUGACGGCCUUCGGGUUGUUAACCGCUUUCAGCAGGGGAGAAGGUUGUGGUGACGGUACCUGCAGAAGAAGCACCGGCUAACUACGUG
rnacentral:rRNA from 1 species